UGAACCCCAACCCAGACCAUGAACCCAGACCCCGAACCCCAACCCAGACCACGAACCCUAACCCAGACUCCAAACCCCAAACCAGACCCCGAACCCCAAACCAACCCAACUCCACCUGGACCCCAACCUGAGCCUGAAGAUGCAAAUGAGAGAUGAAUCACUAGUGUGAAUAGAUCAGCACCCACUUAUACCUCAGGAGUGUCUGUGGUUCUACAGGCUCUGGUUCUACAGUCUGUGGUUCUACAGGCUCUGAUUCUACAGUCUGUGGUUCUACAGGCUCUGGUUCUACAGUCUGUGGUCCUACAGUCUGUGGUUCUAUAGUCUGUCGUUCUACAGGCUCUGGUUCUACAGUCUAUGGUUCUAUAGUCUGUGGUUCUAUAGUCUUUGGUUCUACAGGCUCUGGUUCUACAAUCUGUGGUUCUAUAGUUUGUGGUUCUACAGGCUCUGGUUCUACAGUCUGUGGUUCUACAGUCUGUGGUCCUACAGGCUCUGCCUCUACAGUCUGUGGUUCUAUAGUCUGUGGUUCUACAGGCUCUGGUUCUACAUCUGUGGUUCUACAGGCUCUGGUUCUACAGUCUGUGGUUCCACAGGCUUCGGUUCAACAGUCUGUGGUUCUACAAUCUGUGGUCCUACAGGCUCUGCUUCUAUAGCCUGUGGUUCUACAGUCUGUGGUUCUACAGGCUCUGCUUCUACAUUAUGUGGUUCUACAGGCUCUGGUUCUACAGUCUGGUUCUGCAGGCUCUGGUUCUAUAGUCUGUGGUUCUACAGGCUCUGGUUCUACAGUCUGGUUCUGCAGGCUCUGGUUCUAUAGUCUGUUGUUCUACAGGCUCUGGUUCUACAGUCUGUGGUCUUACAGUCUGUUGUUCUACAGUCUGUGGUCCUACAGACUGUGGUUCUACAGUCUGUGGUUGUACAGGCUCUGGUUCUACAGUCUGUUGUUCUACAGACUCUGGUUCUACAGUCUGUGUUUCUGAACCAGGCACAGACGUCGUCAUGGCGUCCGUGGAACCUCCAGUCGUUUUAAAUGUGUUACAUAAACCACAGGAUAUUUUUGUAGAAAAUUGAACUCUGAUUUCUGUUCUUGUAUUUAACGGUUGGAACGUCUUGUAUCUGAUUGGUUUGUGUCUUUGUGUGACUGUGAGCGCGACUGAACAUGUGUUGAAUUCUGUUCUAAAGAACCAUUUGACUUAUACUGUGAAUUUCUCAUUUGAAAACCUUUUGGAAAUAAACUGUCUGGUUUGGAGUGUA